CAGUAGCCACGGUAAUACGAAAGGUCCAAGCGUUACUCGGAAUUACUGGGCGUAAAGCGCGCGUAGGCGGUCUUGUAUGUCGAUUGUGAAAGCCCCGGGCUCAACCUGGGAACUGCAGUCGAAACUGCAAGACUUGAAUGUUGGAGAGGUUGGGGGAAUACCUAGUGGAGAAGUGGAAUUCGCAGAGAUUAGGUGGAACACCAGAGGCGAAGGCGCCUGACUGGCCAAACAUUGACGCUAAGGCGCGAAAGCGUGGGUAGCAAACAGGAUUAGAUACCCCUGUAGUCCCUGUCUCUUAUAC
rnacentral:rRNA from 1 species